ACUACUGCCUUGUAUGGAAGCAUUUCCAGAAAGAAUAGGCUGAACUCUGUGUCAAUGGCCUAUGAAGCGCAUAAAGAGUUCACACGUUGAACCGUAAUUGUGUUGGAAAUAGUCACGUCUAACAUUACAAUUAAGCAGAGGAAGCUGUUUCUAUUAAUGCAGAGCUGUUCAACAUUUCACAGAAACAAGUGAACUCUACUUCACUUGCCCUAUAGACCGUCAGGUUUACCAAGUGUUUCUAUAAGCUGGAUUUAUCACUACUCUUGUUAAUUAACACAAGCCAAUAGAAAUGAGACAUGUGAUAAAACCUACAUUCAAAAAUUGAAUUUAACGUGUCAUGAACAGAACACUUGUAUUCUCCCAGCCGUUGGCAUCGCGAAUUGACUAAAUAAGCAUCGCGAAUUGACUAAAUAAUAAAUUACUGUUAUUAUUUGGUAGCAUUAUUUCAUAACAAUUUUUCCUCAGCUGAUUAAAAUGAAGUUCGCGGUUCUCCUUCUCGUGGUCCUGGUGUGUCUGUUAAAUCUCAUCGUUGAAUCCGAAAGUUGUUGUAAAACGUAUGGUCAACGUUGUGGCGAAGGCACAGACUGCUGUCCUUUUCUUGAGUGUAGCCUCAAGAGCAUAGGGUUUGCCUGUGCUUGACGUGGAAAACCAAACGGUAAAAAAACUAAAAGAAUAAAAGAGACUAUAAAAAAAAAAUAUCGAUCAUUGACAAAAGUUUUAACUUUUUUCCUUCAAUUUAGUUUUUAACCAAAUAGGGAUUGAUAAAAAGAGAAUAUGUCACCACAUAAAACAUACUAAACUGCUGACUGUUGUGGGGAUUUUUCAAUGAAUCUUAUUAGUUGGAGUUAUGCAUGUAGCACAGAGAAAUAAAUGUACUUGUCUUUAUUUUAUAUCCGCGUGUUACUGUCUGAUAUAUGAUAUAGCCGCUAUGUGAUUUAUGUCAUUUGAUAAAUGCCCUUGUUUCUGAUGGUGACCGGAAAAAUGCGCAGCUGAAAAUUGUGCAACAGAAAACAUGAAUGGGCAUUUGUGUUUUCUUAAAUCGAUCAUUUAAAGACAUUAACAAAGAAUUAAUAGAUGUACAUUUUAGCAUACUACACCAUACUUCACCGAAAUAUGACACAAUUAAAUUAAAAUGGAUUAGUAUAAUUAGUUUGUAUUUGCGCAUUUUUCUGUUUGGGCAGUUUUCCGAUGCGCAGUUUUGUGUCGAAACAUCAAAGCAUUACUAUCAUAGUUACUUAAUAUCUCGUGAGUUACCACCACAUGAUAACAUAUUGAAUAGAAAAAUUAAUUUUCCACGGUAUAUAAAUGU